rnacentral:snRNA from 1 species
AGCUUUGCACAGUGGUAGUUUUGUAGCCAAUGAGGUUUAUUCAAGGUGUAAUUAUUGCUAAUCAAAUUCUUCUAACCAGUAUUUAUUGAUUCCUUCUGUGUGCCUGGCACUAAGUUCUUUUGGAAUAUGGCUGCAGACAACAGAGAUUG